AUUGAACGCUGGCGGCAUGCCUUACACAUGCAAGUCGAACGGCAGCGCGGACUUCGGCCUGGCGGCGAGUGGCGAACGGGUGAGUAAUACAUCGGAACGUACCCUGUUGUGGGGGAUAACUAGUCUAAAGAUUAGCUAAUACCGCAUACGACCUGAGGGUGAAAGUGGGGGACCGCAAGGCCUCACGCAGCUGGAGCGGCCGAUGUCUGAUUAGCUAGUUGGUGGGGUAAAGGCUCACCAAGGCGACGAUCAGUAGCUGGUCUGAGAGGACGAUCAGCCACACUGGGACUGAGACACGGCCCAGACUCCUACGGGAGGCAGCAGUGGGGAAUUUUGGACAAUGGGGGCAACCCUGAUCCAGCAAUGCCGCGUGUGUGAAGAAGGCCUUCGGGUUGUAAAGCACUUUUGUCCGGGAAGAAAUCGUGCGGGUUAAUACCUGGCGGGGAUGACGGUACCGGAAGAAUAAGCACCGGCUAACUACGUG
rnacentral:rRNA from 1 species